rnacentral:rRNA from 1 species
GGGUCAGUAGGUUGGUCGUGCCACCGGUACGUACUGGUCUCACUGAUUCCUCCUUCCUGAAGAACCGUAAUGCCAUUAAUUUGGUGUUGCGGGGAAACAGGACUGUUACUUUGAAAAAAUUAGAGUGUUUAAAGCAAGCUAACGCUUGAAUACAUUGGCAUGGAAUAAUGAAAUAGGACGAUCGAUCCUAUUUUGUUGGUCUCUAGGAUUGACGUA